rnacentral:tRNA from 1 species
GCCGAAGUGGUGGAAUUGGUAGACACGCCAUCUUGAGGGGGUGGUGGAUAAUUUCCGUGCCGGUUCGAUUCCGGCCUUCGGCACCA